rnacentral:rRNA from 1 species
UAACAGCUCAAAUUUGAAAUCUGGCUCCUCUGGAGUCCGAGUUGUAAUUUGUAGAAGAUGCUUUGGGUGAUGGGUUCGGCCUAAGUUCCUUGGAACAGGACGUCAUAGAGGGUGAGAAUCCCGUAUGUGGCCGAGGCCCACGCCCGUGUAAAGCUCUUUCAACGAGUCGAGUUGUUUGGGAAUGCAGCUCAAAAUGGGUGGUAAAUUUCAUCUAAAGCUAAAUAUGGGCCAGAGACCGAUAGCGCACAAGUAGAGUGAUCGAAAGAUGAAAAGCACUUUGGAAAGAGAGUUAAACAGUACGUGAAAUUGUUGAAAGGGAAGCGCUUGCACCCAGACUUGGGCGCUGCUGAUCACCUUGCGUUCUGCGCAAGUGCACUCGACAGCGCACAGGCCAGCAUCGGUUCGGGUGGCUGGAUAAAGGCCGUAGGAACGUAGCUCUCUUCGGGGAGUGUUAUAGCCUACGGUGCCAUGCAGCCCAGCCGGACCGAGGACCGCGCCUUCGGGCUAGGAUGCUGGCGUAAUGGGUGUAAGCGACCCGUCUUGAAACACGGACCAAGGAGUCUAACAUCUAUGCGAGUGUUUGGGUGGUAAACCCAUACGCGGAAUGAAAGUGAACGUAGGUGAGAACCCCUUUGGGGUGCAUCAUCGACCGAUCCUGAUGUCUU